UACAUUUUCUAGAAAUAUUCGACAAGAAGUGCAUAUUAAGACAACACGCCAGCACCCUUCUGAUCUUCUGCAUGCAAAACAACAUUGAUGUAUUAAUUUUAAUAAGUUUUAUAAUUUAAGUUACCAUUUUCUUGAACAAGAUUUUCGAUCAAAAUAUUUAAAACUUCAAGGGGAGACAAGUACAAUUAACAGCAAGAUUUGUUCAUUCAAUGGGAUAUAACUGUUAAAUUUGCACAUCACUUUUGUGCAGUUAAAUUCCAAACAAAAACCUUUGACUUGUUUUAUUUUUAUUAUGUCAAGUUUUCUGUUUAGUCAGGUUAAUAGUUACUCCUUGCUAUAGAUCAAUGACAUAUUUGCAUUACAAAUUAUCGAAUUAAUUAGCAAUGUUGCUAAUCAUCAGAUGUUUUUCAUUUUCCGCUGCUAGGCGAGACAUCUCUGUCAACAGUUUAUCUUACAAACUUGUGUUGAUACUAUUGUGUACAUUUUGUAAGAAAUCAGAACAUUAUAUAGUGACUUUAUAUUUAUAGAGAAAUGGAUUUGUAAAAUAUAUAAUGUGUCUUUUUUAAUUCUUUUUAGGUUCUUCUGUGAUAUGUUUUCAUGGUGUGGGAAUAAGACUUGGUGGUCUAAUACAGCUAAUACGAAGGUUAGCAUCGCAGCUUGUCUGUAAAGAUUGAAGCUGGGAGUGGGCAUUGGAGCUGACUUUUAUGGUAACUGUGGCUGCAUAAAAGGGCUAUGUGAUUUUACUGUAACUGUAAAGAAUGUAAUUCAGACUAUUUUUGUGUAUGUUUGAGAAAAUGUUUAUAAUUUUUACAAAAAGAAAAAAAAAAUUAUGUACAGGUUCUCCAUUUUCAACAAGAUUGGAAGUUGUAGGUUAAUAGGUCUUUGAAAUUUCAAAAAUUACUUUCUAUUUUCUGUUCAUACUCAUGUCUAGGCAAAACACUUCCAGUAGUUUAAGAAUGGAGAAUCUAAAAAAAAAAGAAAAAAAAAAAGAAAAAGAAAAAAAUGUUUAAUUAUUGAAAUGUUUUUUAUUUUUGCAAAUUGUAAUAUAUUUUUUCACCUUUGUGUCAUUUUUAGCUGAGUUUAUAACGAAGGGUAUAUUAUUUUAAGAAUAUUUUACAAGAAGCAUAGUUGAAGAAUAUCUUGAUGAAAGUAGAUUGAUUGAUUUUUGGUAUUUAACACCACUUUCAGCAUGAUUUGCUAUAUCUUGGCUGCCAGUUUUUAUUUGUGGAGACAGCCUGGUGAAAACAUCCCCUUCAACAGAGAAACUGGCAACUCUAGUCAAUUAAGAUUGACGUUAAACACACCUACGAUGUGAGGGUUCAGAGUGUUGACAGGCUAGUGAUACAGUAGUUGAACUACUUUGACCAUUCAGCCACCAUUACUCCAUCCGCACUAAAUAUGUUAUUGAAAUGUGUUGAAUUUUUGUAAUUUAAUUAUUUUUUUAUUUUGAUUACCGGUAUACUAUUUAUGUUUUUUUGUUAUAUAUAACAAAGAUGUGGAGUUCUAACAGGGUGAAAUUUAGGUCAAAGGGAGGUAAUUUAUUAUACUGUUUUUAACUUCAAAUACUUGAAAUUCCCUCAAUGUUAGAUUUUUAUUUACUUGGAUGCUCACAUUUAUGCACUUUUUUACAUAUCAGAUGUUUUCUAGAUAAUAGAAAUUUAGGGUGGGAAAAAUUAUGUGUCACUUAAAAUAAUUAUGUGAAAUUUUUCAAAAAGUUUAUUAAUUGGAAGUGCAUCUGAUAUUUUUUAUGUAUGUUACUUUAUUUUCUAAAAACAAAUGGACACAACAUAGAUUGACAAUAAGAUAUUGAGAAGAACCACCUUGUCAGCCAGGAUAGCAGCUCUUAGGAAGAUGGUCAAUUAAAUCUUCAACUAAGUCUGACUCUUUACCAUGAAAAUAGAAAAGGCAAGUUUAUUUUAGCCAGAUCUUUUAAGAUAACAGACCCUUCUGAAAUAUUGCAUUUAAAACACCAUUGAUGAAUUAAUUUACCAGUUUAGUAUUUAAAGAUACAAGAUACAUGAACAAGAUUUUCUAUUAAAAUAUCAAUAGUAAAUCCUAAAAAUAGUCAUUAAACUUCAAGAAAAGACCAGUACAAUUUUAAACA